UACGGGGGGGGCAAGCGUUGUUCGGAAUUACUGGGCGUAAAGGGCUAGUAGGCGGCCAACUAAGUCAGACGUGAAAUCCCUCGGCUUAACCGAGGAAUUGCGUCUGAUACUGGAUGGCUCGAGUUUGGGAGAGGGAUGCGGAAUUCCAGGUGUAGCGGUGAAAUGCGUAGAUAUCUGGAGGAACACCGGUGGCGAAGGCGGCAUCCUGGACCAAUACUGACGCUGAAUAGCGAAAGCCAGGGGAGCAAACGGG
rnacentral:rRNA from 1 species